rnacentral:rRNA from 1 species
UACGUAGGGGGCGAGCGUUGUCCGGAUUUACUGGGCGUAAAGCGCGCGCAGGCGGUCCGGUAAGUCUCCGGUGAAAUCGCCCGGCUCAACUGGGCGGGUGCCGGGGAGACUGGCGGACUUGAGGAGCCUAGGGGCCGGUGGAACUCCCGGUGUAGUGGUGAAAUGCGUAGAGAUCGGGAAGAACACCAGUGGCGAAGGCGGCCGGCUGGGGGUGUCCUGACGCUGAGGCGCGAGAGCGUGGGGAGCAAACAGG